CUACAUGAAGCUUGAGUUACUAGUAAUCGCAGAUCAGAAUGCUGCGGUGAAUGCGUUCCCGGGUCUUGUACACACCGCCCGUCACACCACGGGAGUUGGAGACGCCCGAAGCCGAUUAUCUAACCUUUUGGAAGAAGUCGUCGAAGGUGGAAUCAAUAACUGGGGUGAAGUCGUAACAAGGUAGCCGUAUCGGAAGGUGCGGCUGGAUCACCUCCUUUCUAAGGAGA
rnacentral:rRNA from 1 species